rnacentral:rRNA from 1 species
CACGUAGGGGGCAAGCGUUGUCCGGAUUUAUUGGGCGUAAAGAGCUCGUAGGCGGCUUAGUAAGUCGGGUGUGAAACCUCCAGGCUCAACCUGGAGACGCCACCCGAUACUGCUGUGGCUAGAGUCCGGUAGGGGAGACUGGAAUUCCUGGUGUAGCGGUGAAAUGCGCAGAUAUCAGGAGGAACACCGGUGGCGAAGGCGGGUCUCUGGGCCGAUACUGACGCUGAGGAGCGAAAGCGUGGGGGAGCGAAACAGG